rnacentral:rRNA from 1 species
GGGAUAUUGCACAAUGGGCGAAAGCCUGAUGCAGCAACGCCGCGUGAGGGAAGACGGUUUUCGGAUUGUAAACCUCUGUCUUUGGUGAAGAAGGAAGUGACGGUAACCAAGGAGGAAGCCACGGCUAACUACGUGCCAGCAGCCGCGGUAAUACGUAGGUGGCAAGCGUUGUCCGGAAUUACUGGGUGUAAAGGGAGCGCAGGCGGGAUGGCAAGUUGGAUGUGAAAUACCGCAGCUCAACUGCGGAGCUGCAUCCAAAACUGUCGUUCUUGAGUGGAGUAGAGGUAGGCGGAAUUCCGAGUGUAGCGGUGAAAUGCGUAGAUAUUCGGAGGAACACCAGUGGCGAAGGCGGCCUACUGGGCUCUUACUGACGCUGAGGCUCGAAAGUGUGGGGAGCAAACA